UACAGAGGGGGCAAGCGUUGUUCGGAAUUACUGGGCGUAAAGGGCGCGUAGGCGGCCUGUUAAGUCGAACGUGAAAUCCCCGGGCUCAACCCGGGAACUGCGUCCGAUACUGGAAGGCUUGAAUCCGGGAGAGGGAUGCGGAAUUCCAGGUGUAGCGGUGAAAUGCGUAGAUAUCGAGAGGAACACCUGCGGCGAAGGCGGGUUGCUGGGCUGACACUGACGCUGAUGCGCGAAAGCUAGGGGAGCGAACGGG
rnacentral:rRNA from 1 species